GUCCUCUUAGUUAAAUGGAUAUAACGAGUCCCUCCUAAGGGCUAAUUGCAGGUUCGAUUCCUGCAGGGGACACCA
rnacentral:tRNA from 1 species